rnacentral:rRNA from 1 species
UCGAGCGAGCGCUCACGCGGAAUUUUUCGGAAGGAAGCGGGAGUGACUUAGCGGCGGACGGGUGAGUAACGCGUGGGUAACCUGCCCCAUACCGGGGGAUAACGGUUAGAAAUUACCGCUAAUACCGCUUAAGCGCACGAGGCCGCAUGGCCGCGUGCGAAAAACUCCGGUGGUAUGGGAUGGGCCCGCGUCUGAUUAGCUAGUUGGCGGGGUAACGGCCCACCAAGGCGACGAUCAGUAGCCGACCUGAGAGGGUGGCCGGCCACAUUGGGACUGAGACACGGCCCAAACUCCUACGGGAGGCAGCAGUGGGGAAUAUUGCGCAAUGGGGGAAACCCUGACGCAGCAACGCCGCGUGAGUGAAGAAGUAUCUCGGUAUGUAAAGCUCUAUCAGCGGGGAAGAAGGAAGACGGUACCCGACUAAGAAGCCCCGGCUAACUACGUGCCAGCAGCCGCGGUAAUACGUAGGGGGCGAGCGUUAUCCGGAUUUACUGGGUGUAAAGGGAGCGUAGACGGCGUCGCAAGUCUGAAGUGAAAGCCCGUGGCUCAACCGCGGAACCGCUUUGGAAACUGCGAGGCUGGAGUGCUGGAGAGGUAAGCGGAAUUCCUGGUGUAGCGGUGAAAUGCGUAGAUAUCAGGAGGAACACCGGUGGCGAAGGCGGCUUACUGGACAGUAACUGACGUUGAGGCUCGAAAGCGUGGGGAGCGAACAGGAUUAGAUACCCUGGUAGUCCACGCGGUAAACGAUGAGUG